rnacentral:lncRNA from 1 species
UUUCUUACAUGCUUCUACUUGUGGUUUUGUUUCUCUUACUGCAAUUAGUAUGUCUCUAUGUUGAUUAAUACGCCUAUCUCAACUAGCAUGUCCAUCACUCCCCUUUAUCUGUCUUAUGCUUGUUCCUACUUAUUCUCCCUCACCCCUGUACACUGUUAGCAUGUAUUCAGGACCCUCUUAGAUACUAAAUAGCCCUGAAACUCUUCCUAAUGUUGACUCUGUCAAUCUAAUGAUGUUAAGAUCCUGACCUCUUUGUUUGAAACAUGUUUGAUUAUUCUAAAGUACUUCUCUUUGAUGCUCUGUGUAUAUAUAACUAUGUUCAUGGUUGUGAGUUAUUUGUUCCCUUUCCCCCCUGCCCCUGGUGGUGUUCCUUUAGUACUGUGUGAGUAUUUGCUUUCAAACUUGGUUCCAUAUUAACUGUUUUCAAACUCAAUUGAUUUUAAGGGACUCUAUCACUCUUCUGAUACUUUUGUCUCAAACUAUUUUCAUGUGAAUCCUCUUUCAAUUGUUAUCAACUCAACUUCUUUAAAUUCUAUCACAAUCUCACCACUCUUAGAACUUAGGUUCUACCCCCUUGGUGUAAGCAUUGUUUUGGGUACCUGGGGUACCCACUGAACUUUGAUGCACAAGGCUAGUAAUUACAUACUUGAACUUGUCAAUGUUAAUCUGUUUGGG